rnacentral:RNase_P_RNA from 1 species
CGGGUUGGCUGGGCGAUCGCGUCGGACGGGUCUGCGAAGAUGCGUCCGCCGAGGAAAGUCCGGGCUCCGCAGGGCAGGGUGGUGGGUAACGCCCACUCGGGGAAACCCGCAGGCUAGUGCCACAGAAAACAGACCGCCAGGGCUGCCUUGUGCAGCACCUGGUAAGGGUGAAACGGCGGUGUAAGAGACCACCAGCGCGCCGGGCGACCGGGGCGGCUAGGUAAACCCCACCCGGAGCAAGGCCAGACAGGGCACGAUUGAGGGCUGCUCGCCCGAGUGUCCGGGUAGGCCGCUUGAGGGCACCGGCAACGGUGCUCCUAGAUGGAUGAUCGCCACCCGGCGGCGGGCAACUGCCGCAGGUGACAGAACCCGGCUCAUAGGCCAACCCGUCCC